GCCUUUGUGGUGUAAUGGGAAACAUGUCCGGCUAGCAAUCAGAAAGUUCGGAGCUCGAAUCCCGUCGAGGGCA
rnacentral:tRNA from 1 species